UUUUGGACAAUGGGCGCAAGCCUGAUCCAGCCAUUCCGCGUGAGUGAAGAAGGCCUUCGGGUUGUAAAGCUCUUUCGCAAGGGAAGAAAACUUACUUUCUAAUAAAGAGUGAGGUUGACGGUACCUUGAUAAGAAGCACCGGCUAACUACGUGCCAGCAGCCGCGGUAAUACGUAGGGUGCGAGCGUUAAUCGGAAUUACUGGGCGUAAAGCGUGCGCAGGCGGCUUUGUAAGUCAGAUGUGAAAUCCCCGAGCUCAACUUGGGAACUGCGUUUGAAACUACAAGGCUAGAAUAUGUCAGAGGGGGGUAGAAUUCCACGUGUAGCAGUGAAAUGCGUAGAGAUGUGGAGGAAUACCAAUGGCGAAGGCAGCCCCCUGGGAGUAAUAUUGACGCCCUGCACGAA
rnacentral:rRNA from 1 species